rnacentral:lncRNA from 1 species
UUCAGAGUGACUUGACUAGGUAGGUGAUACUUCCUUUUCACAGAGGCCCAGAGAGUAGUAAGUACCUCACUUGUGUCAUUCAGAUAGUAAAUGUGACUAAUGGAUGAUAUUUAUAAGCAAUGCCCUGCUUUGCUCUUAGAGAUCUGUUUAAUUCUCAUUGCUCUUAUAUUUGGAUCCAGGCCAAUCCCACGAGUCUAAACCUACUUCUGUCUGUAUCUGUUGCAGACAUGGAGACAUGACUAGAUCACCACACUCAGUGUGUUCCUCCUCCUCUUACCCUGCUUUACCUUUGUGUUUGAAUGCCUCCCUCAUUUGAAGUGUUUUCCUCCUGCAGAUUGGGAAGUGUUUUCCUUUUUUCACCUUUGUA